AGACAAAGCAUGCUGAUGCCCUGAUGUUGGACUUCCCAGGCGCUCUAGGUGUGAGAACUAUAAAUUUCUGGUCUUCACAGAUUAUCCAGUCUCAGGCAUUGAGUGUUAGCAACACAAACACAGAAACCACAUAUGCCCCUAUACUUGUGGAGUUAACUCCCAGAAGUGACAGUGCCAGUGCAAAUGGCAGAUCUACUGUAGAACUCUAUUGCUAGAUUCCCCUUUGAUAGAGGUUGCAUGGUUUCGCAUGUUCAUUACCACUCCUCGAGGAGUGUCUUCUUAUUCCAAUAUAUGCUGCCAAGUACUUGAAUUGUAGCCAAAUGAGAGAUGUGCAGUUUCUAUUUGCAUUGCCCUGCACAGGAGAAAGGUGGCGCUCUUUCCAUUGGAAGAAAAGCCACUUGUGUCCCUUUUCCUGUCAACUGUCCUUGUCCUUUGCCCAUCUUUCUGUUGGAAUGUUGGCCAUUUCUCCCUCGUUUCCAAGAACAAUGUGUACGUUAGGUUUCUUUCGUUUUGAUAUACUAGGCAGACCAACUACACUUUCCUAGUUGGUAUUUGUUUUUCCUUUAUCUUGGUUUGCCAUGCAUGAAUUAAGGUUUGUGUGUGGCUGAAUAUAACAGCCUUUUCAUUUAUAACUAACGCAUUUUGUUUCCGAGUUGGCAGGGCCUUUGCCACGCUUCCCAUCUUAACAUUAUAAAGGAACAGAGACAGAGAGAGAGGAGAGGAGCUCCCAACUGCUAAUUCACUUCCCAGUCCUGCAAGUGCCUUGAGAUGUGCCAGACUGCAACUGGGAACUGGCAAUUCCACCCAGGUCGCCCAUGUGAAUAGCAUGGAACUUGUUAUAGGAACCAUUGUUUCCCCAGAGGUAUUUUAGUAAGAAACUGGAGUUAGGCUCCAGAGAUGAGUAUCAAAACCAGGUACUCUGAUAUGAGAAAUGGGCAUCGGAACUCACCAUCAAAGCAUCUAAGCCAUUAGGCUAAAUUCCUUCUCAACCCAUGUUUCUUUUGUUAAGAGUAUCCCUUGACUGUCACACCCUUACUUCCCACUCCACAAAAGCAAGCAUCAGCCUUGGAUUUGUUGGAAGCGCAGUGCACCCUCUACUACUAGACGAGACAGGAAAAUAGACUACUAGAUGUCCAUAAUUUCUUCCCAAGUGGGAUCUUCUAGAGAAAAGACGGAAAGAGCGUUGCCCUGGGUGUACAGCAAAGAGCCCCUGUAGACACUGAUUUUCUCUACACAGUGCACAGCCAGCCAUGGAAUCCUGGAUUAUUUUAUUUCCAGUUUUUCCCAGACACCUUUUAUGGAAGCUAUACCAACUUGAUGCAUUUCCUAAACACGGCUUUCGGAACAUAGUGAUUCUCCCACCAUACCUAACUUCACAGCAGCCCUCCCACCUCUCUUCCUCCUCUGUCUCCUUUAGGGGCAUCUUCUCUGACAGGAGUAGAAUUUACCUAGAACUUAUUAACAAAACAUGACGGGCUGAAUACUAUACGUAUUUGGAAACUUUGGAAUGGCAUAUACUUCUAUGAAAAAGAAAACUCUCACUUCGAAGAGUAACAGUGUGUUGACUGACGUAACUUGGAGUUCCAAUGGAAGCGAUGUGUCAAAUGAAGUGAAGACACACUCUGAAUCACAUAGGGAUAAUGGACACGGUUCUAGAAUGUAGAGGCUUUGGAACGGGGAUAUUUUGGGUCUAGAAGAUGGGGCCAGUGAUGGUGAAUUGCAUUUCCCUGACUGGGAGCUCGACAGGGACAGGGAAGGUGCUGGUGAAUGUAACGAGCUUGAAGAUGGCAAGGGUGCCGUGGGUCCCUCAGACUGUGCUUCUUGUGCAAGUCGGCAGUCUUUGACGAGUGAUGACAGGCUCUCUGAGUUUGCUAAGAAACUCUCACUUCGAAGAGUAACAGUGUGUUGACUGACGUAACUUGGAGUUCCAAUGGAAGCGAUGUGUCAAAUGAAGUGAAGACACACUCUGAAUCACAUAGGGAUAAUGGACACGGUUCUAGAAUGUAGAGGCUUUGGAACGGGGAUAUUUUGGGUCUAGAAGAUGGGGCCAGUGAUGGUGAAUUGCAUUUCCCUGACUGGGAGCUCGACAGGGACAGGGAAGGUGCUGGUGAAUGUAACGAACUUGAAGAUGGCAAGGGUGCCGUGGGCCCCUCAGACUGUGCUUCUUGUGCAAGUCGGCAGUCUUUGACGAGUGAUGACAGGCUC